GCGGGUGUGGUGUAAUGGUAGCACAGCAGCCUUCCAAGCUUCUGGCGAGGGUUCGAAUCCCUUCACCCGCU
rfam:Leptonema illini DSM 21528 genomic scaffold Lepilscaffold_1, whole genome shotgun sequence.